GGGUGCGUAACGCGUGGGAAUAUACCUAUUGGUUCGGAACAACUGAGGGAAACUUCAGCUAAUACCGAAUGUGCCCUUACGGGGAAAGAUUAUCGCCAAUGGAUUAGCCCGCGUCCGAUUAGCUAGUUGGUGGGGUAACGGACCACCAAGGCUCCGAUCGGUAGCUGUACUGAGAGGAAGAUCAGCCACACUG
rnacentral:rRNA from 1 species